AUGCGAUAAGUAGUGUGAAUUGCAGAAUUCAGUGAAUCAUCGAAUCUUUGAACGCACAUUGCGCCCCUUGGUAUUCCAUGGGGCAUGCCUGUUCGAGCGUCAUUUGUACCUUCAAGCUCUGCUUGGUGUUGGGUGUUUGUCUCGCCUCUGCGUGUAGACUCGCCUUAAAACAAUUGGCAGCCGGCGUAUUGAUUUCGGAGCGCAGUACAUCUCGCGCUUUGCACUCAUAACGACGACGUCCAAAAGUACAUUUUUACACUCUUGACCUCGGAUCAGGUAGGGAUACCCGCUGAACUUAA
rnacentral:misc_RNA from 1 species